UACGUAGGGUGCAGGCGUUAAUCGGAAUUACUGGGCGUAAAGCGUGCGCAGGCGGUUUCUUAAGUCAGAUGUGAAAGCCCCGGGCUUAACCUGGGAACUGCGUUUGAAACUGGGAGUCUUGAGUGUGGCAGAGGGGGGUGGAAUUCCACGUGUAGCAGUGAAAUGCGUAGAUAUGUGGAGGAACACCGAUGGCGAAGGCAGCCCCCUGGGUUAACACUGACGCUCAUGCACGAAAGCGUGGGGAGCAAACAGG
rnacentral:rRNA from 1 species